GAUGAACGCUAGCGGCAGGCCUAAUACAUGCAAGUCGAACGGUGUCUUCGGACCUAGUGGCGCACGGGCGCGUAACACGUAUGCAAACUACCUUAAAUUGGGGGUUCGCCUUUCGAAAGGGAGAUUAAUACCGCAUUAGACAGUAGCUGGGCCUCCAGCAGCUGUUCAUGGUUGAUCGAUGUAAGCCGGGCAUGCGUCCAGUUAGGUAAUUGGUGAGGGAACGACUCACCAAGGCAAUGACUGGUAGGGGAACUGAGAGGUCCAUCCCCCAAACUGGCACUGUGAUACGGGCGAGACUCCUGCGGGCGGCAGCAGUAGAGAGUAUUGGGCAAUAGACGCAAGUCUGACCCAGCCAUGCCGCGUGCAGGAUGAAGGCGUUAUGCGUUGUAAACUGCUUUUAUAAAGGAAGAAACGACUCUUGCGAGAGGCAUUGACGGUACUGUAUGAAUAAGCACCGGCUAACUCCGUGCCAGCAGCCGCGGUAACAC
rnacentral:rRNA from 1 species